rnacentral:rRNA from 1 species
UGCGCUAUCAGAUGAGCCUAGGUCGGAUUAGCUAGUUGGUGAGGUAAUGGCUCACCAAGGCGACGAUCCGUAACUGGUCUGAGAGGAUGAUCAGUCACACUGGAACUGAGACACGGUCCAGACUCCUACGGGAGGCAGCAGUGGGGAAUAUUGGACAAUGGGCGAAAGCCUGAUCCAGCCAUGCCGCGUGUGUGAAGAAGGUCUUCGGAUUGUAAGGCACUUUAAGUUGGGAGGAAGGGCAUUAACCUAAUACGUUAGUGUUUUGACGUUACCGACAGAAUAAGCACCGGCUAACUCUGUGCCAGCAGCCGCGGUAAUACAGAGGGUGCAAGCGUUAAUCGGAAUUACUGGGCGUAAAGCGCGCGUAGGUGGUUUGUUAAGUUGAAUGUGAAAGCCCCGGGCUCAACCUGGGAACUGCAUCCAAAACUGGCAAGCUAGAGUACGGUAGAGGGUGGUGGAAUUUCCUGUGUAGCGGUGAAAUGCGUAGAUAUAGGAAGGAACACCAGUGGCGAAGGCGACCACCUGGACUGAUACUGACACUGAGGUGCGAAAGCGUGGGGAGCAAAC